CAUUUUAAAAGGGUCUGGACUUUUGUUCUUAUCACAAAUGACUUGAGUGGCUCUGACCAUUCACGUUUACCCGGAGUGAAAGUGUCAGUGAAAGCUUUGCUUCCUGGAGAGCUUUGAGAUUCUGGUACAAAAGGCAUUUUAUAAGCACAAAGUGGAAAAGCAUCAUUUAUAUUCAUUUGCUGCUGUGGCAUUUCUCUCUGGAAUCUUCCUCUUGUCUGUCAACAUUGUACAAAAAGACUGGCCUCAUCUACAUUACAAAUAUCAUUCUUUUAAUGGUCUGCAAGUAGGAAAGAGACAGCAUAAGAAGGGAGGGGGCGGAGAAACUUGAGGUCUCCUGUUGGAAGAUCUAGGCUUGUUUAUCCCUAAAACUGGGUGCACAUCACCAGUGUGGAUGCUGUGAAUUGUUUCGGAAAGACUGGGGUAUGGGAGUACUACAAUGCUUUGUGUGCGAUGAAUGUUUAUAUGCAGUUGCAGUGACUCAUGGGAGGAUCGCAGCCACGGGGAAAAUCCUCAGAGGGGUCAUUUAGAAUGGAACCAAUCUUUCUGGGCAGAGGGUGAUCUGCAUUGGCCUCCACCUGCCACAGGAAGGCUUCCGGAGCGGAGACAUUUCCACUGAGAUGUCUCCCGGGACCUGUGGCAAAUCCUUCCUCACAGGGGACUCUACUUGGUGUGAUUUAAGAAACAUCAAGGACUUUAUGUCCCAGAAGAGCUCAGUGUGCGGCUUAUCACACACACGGGUUAGGGUUUGCCAACCGGGUUAGUUGAAGUUGAGCCCAGCUCUGAGGGGCCCCCAUUCUCACCCGGGGAAUGUUCUAGAACAUGGGACAUUACUCAAGAGGCAGGGCCUGGGAUGGUGUUACUUGGGUCAAAGGUCUGAGCGUGAAGACCAUGUAAAUGAGUGGAGGCGAGUGUAGAUUCGGGGGGGACAGGAGCUUGGAGGACAGAAGCGCAGCCACAGCGAAGGAUGGUACCCGGAGGAAGAGAGACCUGUAUCCCAAUCCUGUCUCUCAUACCUGUGCCUGGGGCCUCCUCUGAGUCUGCAAGCCAGCCGCUGCUGCUUUUCCUCCUUUGCCUUCUUCUUCAGAUCUUUCCAUCACAAAAAUUUCAAAGAUACACCUAAGUAGAGAGAAUGGGAAGGCGAACCCCUUUUCACCCAUCACCAUCACCCGCCUUGAACAGUUGCCAACACACAUCCCGUCUGCCUCCUGCCCCCGACCCUCCCCUGCCUCCAAUUAUUAUUGAAAUUGGUUCAUUCUUAAUUUAAUUUUUAUUUUUUUUAUUUAAUUUUUAUUUAGAAUCCAUUUUUAAUUUAAUCUUCCCUGUUGCAUUUUUCUGGCCGUUUUUGCCCGUCAGUCACUGUCUUAAGUCAGUCUGCUGAGUUGGCUCUGAAAAGACACAUUUCUCAAGAGAACCCUGAGCAGUUCUGAAAGAAACGCUGGGGUUGAUCAAACAAGGCAUGCUUCGUUAAUUUCAGACACUCACUGAGUCCUAGGUACAGUGCUGGGCUGAAGACAGUAAUGCAACAGGGGCCUCUGAUCUAGUUCUGGGGAGAGGAUAAGAGCCGUAGCAAGUACUCAGGAGUCGCAGGCAAAAAUGUGAGCCCUGAAAAAGGAGAAGUUCCCAGGUGUGGUAGAACUUCCAGGAUGUGAUCAUUCCACUUGGCUGGGAGGGGUGAGGGUGGAGGGUGGUCAGGAAGGGCUCUGGAGCCUGAGGCGCUCGGGGGGAUUUGGAAGGUUGGGCAGAGCGUGGGAUGGUGAAGGAAAAAUGCUUGCCAAAGGGUGGAGGCGGGAGCAGCCCAGGCGAGGGGGCAGGGACAGGAGUGUCACCCCACUGACAGGUAUCACGGUGCGAGGGACUUGGUGGGAGGGGUGCGGCAUGGGAAGGGAGGUGAUUAGUUCUUCCUAGGUUAUUAACUAAACCAUUCUUCUUUUUUAAUGUUUUUAAUUAUUUUUGAGAGGGAGAGUGUGAGCAGGGAGGGACAGAGAGAGAGGGGGACAGAGGAUCUGAAGCUGGCCCUGUGCUGACAUCAGCAAGCCCAUGUGGGACUCGAACUCACGAACCCAGGCGUCACAUUUUUUAAACCUAGAAACGAAGCUUGUAUGUGACUCUGUGCUUCAUCCAAUGUCAGAUAAGCCACAGUCCUUUCCCACCGAGUUCUGAGAAGAUAGGGGUUUUGCCUCUGCAAUUAAUAACGUGGGCAGAAAAUUCCUACUGUUUCCUCCAUGUGAAGGAUAGCAAAGAAGAUGGUGAGCUUUGGUGAAAUGUUCACAUUUUGCAAAUGCGAUAGAGUAGUAACUUGAUUUUUCAAAAGAAGGUUUUCAUUACAAAUGUAAGCACUGUUACGUUAGAAAAGUCAAACAGUAAAAUGCAAAAAGGCAACAAAAUGCAUUGUCCCGUGACCCAAAGAACAUAGUUUUUAAUAUUUUAGCAUCAUAUAAUGAUUUUGGAGCAUGUUUUCAAACCGAAUGAUUUCAAUUGUUUAUCCCUGCCCCCCUCCACCCCUGUCCCCAUUCAUUAUGCUUAUCAAGGAGUUUUGGCAUUAAAUAUUUAUCUCUCUGUUGACUUUAAGAGUCACUUCUCCUUUGAACUCAGAUUUCAGAUGGGAUAAAGGGGAUCAUCCUGAUAUUAAGUGAGAGGUAAAGUUUAUUCUCAGAUAUGCACGAAAUAGUCCUGUGUCUGGGUUCUUUUUUGGGGGGGGGGAGGUGGUUGACAGGGUGUAGGGAAAAUUACAAACGGAGGUCUGCAUAGCAUACAGCCAAAUAUCUCAAGUUAUGUGUUAAGCCAACAAAAUAUUAAAUAAAACAGAUUCUACCCUCUUUCCUUGACUCAUACACCUUCAUCACAGCCACCCCUUGGCAACUAUUGAACUACCUUCUAUCCUCUGACCUAACAGUAUGCCCCUCACCCACCCCUUGGGCUUAGGAGUGGACACACCAGGUCCUUUGGGGGACAGUCUUGGGGAGCAGCGUGCAUGGGCCCUAGAGCAGGCUUGGAGCUGUUGUAGCAGGCUGCCGGGAGCUCCGGGUGGGUUCAUCUCUCUCUGGUGAGGUAUGUAGCCAGAGAAGGGCCAGAGCAGGUGACUCUCUGGCCCUGAUCGGAGUGAGUCAUUCCAUAUUUCCUACGUGCAGGUGGUAUGCACAGGUAAGUGAAAACAGUCUAGUGGGGGCAUGCAGAAAAUCCAGGUAAGUAUCCCCAAAAUGCACAUUUGCCACUAUGAAUGGACCCAGUCGGGAAAGUCAGGGAAGAAGUAACUAAGCCAAUGAGGGGAGAGAAGAGAAUUCCAGGCACAGGGAAAAGCAGAGGCAAAGCCCUGGUGGCAGUGGGGAGAAGCGCCAGGGCUGGGCACAGAAGGAAAGGCAGGGCUGAGGCUAGGGCAGAAGGCCCAGGAGCUCGAGAUGGCAGGUGGGACUGGAGAGACAGGUGCUUUCUGACCAGGAAAGGCCUCUGUUGGCUUGGUAAGAAUUUUCUCUGUAUCCUCAGUGAACGGCUUUGAGCUUAGAUACAGAAAUUAGACAACCGAGCCUUCCAAUGCAGAUGAGAACCUCCAGAAAUGAAAUCGCACCGGCAGUGAACUAAACGAAAAGAAACACCUUCCGGCAACCUUGCACAGGACAUUUAUCACCGCAAACAGGCUGGUCGCGCACCCAUCACCUGCAAUGGCAAAGAGGAUUACGGAUGAGUCCGUUGCUAUCACACAAGGUCUUUCUGUGCUUAGGGUUUACAUCAGGUGGUUACUUGCACACCAUUUGGGGGGAUGUAUUUGUAACUGUAUCUUGCCAGCAUGUUUGAUGCUUCAGUUAGUUGACAUCUAAAAACAAAAUCAAUUUUCAGACAAAAUACCCAUAAAAUAAGUGAAAUGCUAUCAUAAGUUUUAAGAAAUUAAAAUGUAAUAAAUUUAGCCUUCUAUUCUAAAGCAAUUUCAUCUAGAAUAGAAAGUAGAUACUGUAGAGGUAUUUUUUUCCUGAAUCUCUGACAAUUACACGACAGUGACUCUUGCUACUGUAUAUUCAGAAAUGUAUUGCUUGAAGUAGUUUGUCAUGAAAAAGGAAUUUUUUCUUGUUGGGGCUUCCUUUACAGUGUCAAAGAGCUUAAAGAUGAAUACUUUGUGUGUUGACGUUCAGCCAUAAUUAAGCCUUGACAAUGAUUAUUACUUUGGGUAUAAACACUAUCAAAUUUUCAUUGGGCGAGUUCUUUUUUAAUUAACGUUGAGUUAUGUUCUGUUUAUUAUCCUGUUUGCUUCUGUUUCUGUCAUUUUCCAGUUGUCUGCUUGAAUCUUGUUUUUUCAUAGUGAGUUAGCAACUGAUAAUGUGUAUCGAUUUCAGUUUUGCUUCUAAUUUACAUUUUUAUCUCUUUGGUGGAUGUAUUUGGCUUAAUCAUUUUAUUUUUAUAAGCAGUUGUACAAUUUGUUAAUUUAGCCGGAUGAUUAAAUUUGGCUUCUAAAGAGAGUUUGUUUUAGAAAAUGGUCCCUGAAGUAAAUUAGCACUUGGCAUUUCCAACAUAUCAAAGGGACUGGUCUCUUAAAGAUAACCGAGAACGUAACUCUAAAUUCUCAAAAACGGAUUCCCAAUUUUGAAACCUUGGACUAUAUAGAGCUAUGUAUUCCAGUAGGUGGUGCAAAUCGACUCUGUUUCAAAUGGAAAUGUAAUUUAGAAUUGUGAUGUAACUAUUUUCACCAUAGAAAUAAUAUUUCAACAUGUUUUCUCAACUGCAAAAUUAUUUGUCUCUCUUUCUAAUGGAAGCUCGAUUUACCCUUUCAAUGCUCAUUGUCUUUAUAUUUAUUUCAUUCCCCAGGUACCAUUAUAAUGAUCACUGUCAUAGGAGAGGUGGAGGGGAAAUGGGGGGGGCGCUACAAAAACUGGGGAGACCUGUUAAAAAUUGUGAAUACGGAGGCGAGUCAUCUGCUUCUGUGCUCAGUUCUACAAAGAA
rnacentral:lncRNA from 1 species